rnacentral:rRNA from 1 species
GUUGGAAACGACUGCUAAUACCGAAUGUGCCUUAGGGUGAAAGAUUUAUUGUCUAGAGAUUGGCUCGCGUCAGAUUAGCUAGUUGGAGUGGUAAUGGCACACCAAGGCGACGAUCUGUACUUGGUCUGAGAGGAUGACCAGGCACACUGGAACUGAGACACGGUCCAGACUCCUACGGGAGGCAGCAGUGGGGAAUUUUCCGCAAUGGGCGAAAGCCUGACGGAGCAAUACCGCGUGAGGGAGGACGGCUUUUGGGUUGUAAACCUCUUUUAUCAGGGAAGAAUCGAUGACGGUACCUGAUGAAUCAGCAUCGGCUAACUCCGUGCCAGCAGCCGCGGUAAUACGGAGGAUGCAAGCGUUAUCCGGAAUUAUUGGGCGUAAAGCGUCCGUAGGUGGUUUAUCAAGUCUGCUGUCAAAGCGUGCGGCUUAACCGCAUAAGGGCAGUGGAAACUGAUGAACUAGAGUGCGAUAGGGGUAACAGGAAUUCCCAGUGUAGCGGUGAAAUGCGUAGAUAUUGGGAAGAACACCAGCGGCGAAAGCGUGUUACUGGGUCUGCACUGACACUGA